GACGAACGCUGGCGGCGUGCUUAACACAUGCAAGUCGAACGGAAAGGCCCUGCUUUUGUGGGGUGCUCGAGUGGCGAACGGGUGAGUAACACGUGAGUAACCUGCCCUUGACUUUGGGAUAACUUCAGGAAACUGGGGCUAAUACCGGAUAGGAGCUCCUGCUGCAUGGUGGGGGUUGGAAAGUUUCGGCGGUUGGGGAUGGACUCGCGGCUUAUCAGCUUGUUGGUGGGGUAGUGGCUUACCAAGGCUUUGACGGGUAGCCGGCCUGAGAGGGUGACCGGCCACAUCGGGACUGAGAUACGGCCCAGACUCCUACGGGAGGCAGCAGUGGGGAAUAUUGCACAAUGGGCGGAAGCCUGAUGCAGCAACGCCGCGUGCGGGAUGACGGCCUUCGGGUUGUAAACCGCUUUCGCCUAUGACGAAGCGUGAGUGACGGUAAUGGGUAAAGAAGCACCGGCUAACUACGUG
rnacentral:rRNA from 1 species